CUGGUUGAUCCUGCCAGUAGUCAUAUGCUUGUCUUAAAGAUUAAGCCAUGCAGGUGUAAGAUCAUAUCUAUGAAUGGUGAAUCCGCGAAUGGCUCAUUAAAUCAGUUAUAAUUUAAUAGGAUGUGAUUCGUUAAUUGGAUAACUGUGGUAAUUCUAGAGCUAAUACAUGCAUAUACGGCUGAACUUUGUUUGGCUGUGCUUUUAUUAGUGCAAACCAGGCCUUCGGGCUGCAAAAUGGUGACUCUGAAUAACUUUGCUGAGCAUUUGGACCUUGUGUCAGUGCUAUUCCUUUAAAGUAUCUGCUCUAUCAACUGUCGAUGGUAUAUUAUAUGUUUACCAUGGUUGUAACGGGUAACGGGGAAUUAGGGUUCGAUUCCGGAGAGGGAGCCUGAGAAACGGCUACCACAUCUAAGGAAGGCAGCAGGCGCGCAAAUUACCCAAUCCCGGCUCGGGGAGGUAGUGACAAAAAAUAACAAUGCGGGACUCUUAUGAGGCUUCGUAAUUGGAAUGAGUACAUUCUAAAUCCUUUAACGAGGAACUAUUGGAGGGCAAGUCUGGUGCCAGCAGCCGCGGUAAUUCCAGCUCCAAUAGCGUAUAUUAAAGUUGUUGCGUCUAAAAAGCUCGUAGUUUGAAAACUUGCCUUGGCUUACAACAGACGUCUAAGGGCGUCACCGUUUGUCGAGAGCAAAUAUGGGUGACUGUUCUUGCCUUCUUCACUGAUUGGCUCGUAAAAGUCAUCGAAGAUCACUUUGAUUAAAUUAGGGUGCUCAAAGCAAGUGUGCUACUUGAAUAUGAAUGCAUGGAAUGAUGGAAUAUGUUGUUGUUCUAUUUGUUGGUUUUUUGAAUGACGAAAUGAUUGAAAGGAACUGUUGGGGGCAUUCGUAUUGUUGUGAGAGAGGUGAAAUUCUUAGACCAUAGCAAGACGAACUACUGCGAAAGCAUUUGCCAAGAAUGUUUUCAUUGAUCAAGAACGAAAGUUAGAGGUUCGAAGGCGAUCAGAUACCGCCCUAGUUCUAACCAUAAACUAUGCCGACUAGCAAUUUGCUUUGUAUUUUUAUGACUAAGUGAGAGGCCACGGGAAACCAAAGUAGGGUUAUGGGGGAAGUAUGGUUGCAAAGCUGAAACUUAAAGGAAUUGACGGAAGGGCACCACCAGGAGUGGAGCCUGCGGCUUAAUUUGACUCAACACGGGAAAACUUACCUGGUCCUGACACUAGAAGGGUUGACAGAUUGAUAGCUCUCC
rnacentral:rRNA from 1 species